AAUAUUUUAGUUGGGAGUGAAAAUAUUUUGGGAAGAUUUUACUAAGUGGUUUUUGGGGCAGCAUUUGAAAUGUCCAUAAUGGCACGACCAAAUGUUGGAUUUUAUUGUCAUUUGAAUACGUCCUUUGGAAACCAACGCAAACUACGGAAUAAAAUAAAGAUAAGGUGAGUACAAAGUCAUCUCAAUGAUCCAAACUACCCCAUCUUUUUUAUGCAAUGGAAUGACAAAAAAGCCCUAAAAAAUGAUUGCAGAUGGGGUGAAGAGGGUGGUAAGAUGUAAGGGUAUUGAGGGUAUUUGAGUUGGUACUAAUUCAUGAAUUAAUAGGAGGAGUGAUGUAAGAAAGGGGGAAGAGAGAGAUGUUGAUAAAUGGGGAAGGGUAAAGAAAGUGGAUGGAUGGCACGUGCCAUUGGAUGGGCAAAAUAGACAAGUUAGGUUUAAUUGUGUGGGAGACAUAGUUUCUGAAAAGCACCCAUAACCGCUUUAAGGUUUGGCGCUGUCACUCAGAGCCAUGUUCAUUAUUUUCCCUUUUC
rnacentral:lncRNA from 1 species